rnacentral:lncRNA from 1 species
CGGGAUGGAUCGUGAGACGGUUCAUGGGACGGAUCGUGGGCCGGUUCGUGGGACGGAUCGUGAAGACGUACCACUACAUCAACCACGUUUAUUAACGCUUCUGCUUAGCGUUCUACAAGGGUAUGUGGAUCUGAUCUCCCUCUUGUAGAUGAUCAUCACCAUGAUAGGUCUUCGUGUGCGUAGGAAAUUUUUGUUUCCCAUACUAUGUUCACCAAUAGUGGUAUCAGAGCGAGGUUCAUGCGUAGAUGUAAUCUCGAGUAGAACACAAAAGUUUUUAUGGG